rnacentral:tRNA from 1 species
GGCCACGUAGCUCAGCUGGUAGAGCGUGUGCAAAGCGUAGGCGGUGUCCAUGCGUGGGUUCGAAUCCCACCGAGGCUA